UUCUAUGGCCAAGUUUUAUAAAAGGAGUCAUCACUUGCAUUGUCUGGAAUGGCAUCUUAAAGGAAGCAUUAGCCCUUUGCUGGUGACACUGGGUAAGAUGCAUUGAUUUGCUGGAAACUUGCAGACAAUGUUGAUGCUACUCCUUUCCUAACCACUGCUCUGAACAUGUAUCUCAUUUUCAGGUGUAAUGAACCUCUCUAAGCUUUUCCUUGUCUCAUCUUCCAGUAUGAACAUUUUUGGCAGUUACCCAUGACAGUCUGAUGGGAAAGAAGAGUGUACCACUUGCUGAUUAUUUUUUUCCUCUUUUGUGGUGAAAAAGCACCUGUAGGGUGUUUAUCACCUCGUCUCUUCUUCAGGAAAGAGAACAGACUGGCUGCAGCAGCUUCAGCACUAACACGCUGUCAGGUGCAGAAAAGCUGACUAAGACCAUCUGGCAUUCUCUGUAUGGACCUCUGCCCUGGAGCAUCUAAUGCGAUUUGGGAAUCAGGUGCCCAAUGUUAUUCCUAGAGAGAGUCAGAGCCAACCCUGCUGCAACAGAAGAGGUGGGUGAUGUCUGGACUCAUUUGGUUGACCAGGUGGAAGGAGCCAGCCACGGUGUCGGCAGUGCCUGUGGUCCGUGUGCCAGCACAGCACAGCACAGCACCCUGCUGGCCUGGCCAUCGGCCCUCCCUGAGCCUUUCCAGGUGCAGGUGGCACCAGCUCUGAAACACAGCAGGCACGAAGGCAGGGGCACUGUGAGACCACGAAAGCCUGGGUCGUUGAUGAGGCUGUUAGCACUCUUUCAGUCCUUUAACAUCCAAGUCCUUACGAGAAGACACUGGCUUAAUCUCAGCUCAACUGGAAAAAUGCCGAUGACUGGAAAUGUCAUCAGCUGCCUGUGGGCCAGGCUGGCCCUGAGCUGAUAAGGAGCAAUACAAAAUAAAAAUGUCAACACAAAACUGGAGAAACACAGAGGGUGGUUGCAGCUCUUCUCCAUCCUGUAGGAAGCAGGGCCCCUCUGUCACCAGUCCUAGGAGCUGAACUUUCCCUAAAGCCUCAGUGACCAACUCCGCUCUUCCUUACAAAAGGGAAAGGUGGCUGCUCUCAAUG